AGGUGCCUGCCGUCUUGCUGUAUGUUUAUAGAGUGAGGGUCUAGGCAUAUUAUUUCUGAACUUUUUUUUUAAACUAUGCUGUUCAUUCAUCGAUUUUUUUUUUCAAUUUCUUAAUUCAUUUUUAUUAAUUUAAAAAUGUCCAGUGUAUGUAAGCCAUUUCUUUCCAUUAUCUGUUAGAAGGUAUUUUGUUUAAUUUUUUUCUUUUUUUCUUUUUUUUUUUUUUAGAAGGAGUGUUGCUUUUGUCACCCAGGCCGGAGUGCAGUGGCAUGAUCUCGGCUCACUGCAACCUCCGCCUCCUGGGUUUGAGUGAUUCUCCUGCCUCAGUCUCCUGAGUAGCUGGGAUUACAGGCACCUGCCACCACACCCAGCUAAUUUUUUGUAGUUUUAGUAGAUAUGGGGUUUCACUAUGUUGGCCAGGCUGAUCUCAAACUCCUAACCUCAGGUGAUCUGCCUGCCUUGGCCUUCCAAAGUGCUGGGAUUACAGGUGUGAGCCACCAUGCUUGGCCUAUUUUUUUCUUCUUAUAAUAAAUUUAAAUAUGUUUUGACUGUAAGCUUAUUUUGUUACCCAUGCUUAAAUGAGACGGAUUUUCCUAAACUACCAGGAGAACACUGAGGGGAGGUUGGGAUAGGACAGGACUCUUUUCCAGCUUUACAAAUCCAGGGCUUCCUCCUCUAUUAUUACUAUGAGGUGCUCGGGUACGUGCACUUUUUUUUUCUCUUUUUCUUUUUUUCUUUCUUUCUUUCUUUCUUUUUUUUUUUUGCCACAUCUGUAUCUCUCAGGGCUAAGCCUAUUUUGGAGUUCACUUCCCUGUAACUUUGCAUUGUCCAGAUCCCCAUGGACCUUGCUUUCCAAGCUGGUGGCAUUGGCUGUAAAUUCUCUGUUUUGCAAAGUUAUUACUUCCAGAGAUCUACCUCUUCUGAAACCAGUGUCUGAAUAAUGUGUCUCUUCUGUACCCACAGUAUCUCUGACUUCAGCUCCUGGCAGUAUAUCUUCAGAGAGUGUUGUGCAUUAUUUCUGGAAUGCCCAAGAGCUUAAGUCGUCGUACUGUUUGAUCUUUUCACAGCCCUUUUAAGAUUUUUCAUGCCCUUACACAAAGUGAGAGCCUCUGGCAACUUCUCCCAGUUCAGUAUGUUAUUCACACAAUCACUUGUCUGUGUACCCAAUUAUAGAGGAGAUGUCAUAUCCUGGAGUCUGUAGCUUUUGAGGUUAGUUAGCACUUGCCUGUUUCUCUUCCUCCUGCUUCCCCUACACAUCUUCUGGUCUUGUGUAAGACUUCCUGCUAGCAUGUUUGGUUUGAACUACCAUAUUCAGGGAACCAUAUGAUUUUGUAUUACUAAGUUGUAUGCAGUUAUUAUAGGUGGGUUUUUUCAUUUUCUACCUUACUUGUGUAUGUAUUUUUUAUAUGUAUAUGUGUAUACAUAUAAAAUGGACUAGUUAGUCUCUAAGUUCUAACCAAGGGGCUGAACAUUGCUGUAAUGUUGCAUUUAGGGAGAAUCUGCAGCUCAUAUGUUAUCCUUUUAUAGGACCUGCCCCAGGGUGCAUUCCCAGAGAGUUCAAUUUUCUCCUGGGCACACAGGUAGACACCACUUCAUGUUGAGUGUGAGUGGAAGUGACAUGGUCAUAGAUGCUUCAAGGCCUGCAAGAAGCAGCUGUUCAUUGUCCAUCCUCUUUUCCCAAUGACUUGAUGUAUGCAGAUCAAAAAGUUGCCUCAGCCAGUCAUGGAAUCACAAGAUGAAUAACAACUCAAUCCCUGAAUCACGGGUAUGCAGGGAAACACCUGU
rnacentral:lncRNA from 10 species